rnacentral:rRNA from 1 species
AGAGUUUGAUCCUGGCUCAGAGCGAACGCUGGCGGCAGGCCUAACACAUGCAAGUCGAACGAACUCUUCGGAGUUAGUGGCGGACGGGUGAGUAACACGUGGGAACGUGCCUUUAGGUUCGGAAUAACUCAGGGAAACUUGUGCUAAUACCGAAUGUGCCCUUCGGGGGAAAGAUUUAUCGCCUUUAGAGCGGCCCGCGUCUGAUUAGCUAGUUGGUGAGGUAAAGGCUCACCAAGGCGACGAUCAGUAGCUGGUCUGAGAGGAUGAUCAGCCACAUUGGGACUGAGACACGGCCCAAACUCCUACGGGAGGCAGCAGUGGGGAAUCUUGCGCAAUGGGCGAAAGCCUGACGCAGCCAUGCCGCGUGAAUGAUGAAGGUCUUAGGAUUGUAAAAUUCUUUCACCGGGGACGAUAAUGACGGUACCCGGAGAAGAAGCCCCGGCUAACUUCGUGCCAGCAGCCGCGGUAAUACGAAGGGGGCUAGCGUUGCUCGGAAUUACUGGGCGUAAAGGGAGCGCAGGCGGCUUUGCAAGACAGAGGUGAAAUCCCCGGGCUCAACCUGGGAACUGCCUUUGUGACUGCAAGGCUAGAGUACGGCAGAGGGGGAUGGAAUUCCGCGUGUAGCAGUGAAAUGCGUAGAUAUGCGGAGGAACACCAAUGGCGAAGGCAAUCCCCUGGGCCUGUACUGACGCUCAUGCACGAAAGCGUGGGGAGCAAACAGGAUUAGAUACCCUGGUAGUCC